UUAAGCGACUAAGCGUACACGGUGGAUGCCCUGGCAGUCAGAGGCGAUGAAGGACGUGCUAAUCUGCGAUAAGCGUCGGUAAGGUGAUAUGAACCGUUAUAACCGGCGAUUUCCGAAUGGGGAAACCCAGUGUGAUUCGUCACACUAUCAUUAACUGAAUCCAUAGGUUAAUGAGGCGAACCGGGGGAACUGAAACAUCUAAGUACCCCGAGGAAAAGAAAUCAACCGAGAUUCCCCCAGUAGCGGCGAGCGAACGGGGAGCAGCCCAGAGCCUGAAUCAGUGUGUGUGUUAGUGGAAGCGUCUGGAAAGGCGCGCGAUACAGGGUGACAGCCCCGUACACAAAAAUGCACAUGCUGUGAGCUCGAUGAGUAGGGCGGGACACGUGGUAUCCUGUCUGAAUAUGGGGGGACCAUCCUCCAAGGCUAAAUACUCCUGACUGACCGAUAGUGAACCAGUACCGUGAGGGAAAGGCGAAAAGAACCCCGGCGAGGGGAGUGAAAAAGAACCUGAAACCGUGUACGUACAAGCAGUGGGAGCACAGAGCAAUCUGUGUGACUGCGUACCUUUUGUAUAAUGGGUCAGCGACUUAUAUUCUGUAGCAAGGUUAACCGAAUAGGGGAGCCGAAGGGAAACCGAGUCUUAACUGGGCGUUAAGUUGCAGGGUAUAGACCCGAAACCCGGUGAUCUAGCCAUGGGCAGGUUGAAGGUUGGGUAACACUAACUGGAGGACCGAACCGACUAAUGUUGAAAAAUUAGCGGAUGACUUGUGGCUGGGGGUGAAAGGCCAAUCAAACCGGGAGAUAGCUGGUUCUCCCCGAAAGCUAUUUAGGUAGCGCCUCGUGAAUUCAUCUCCGGGGUAGAGCACUGUUUCGGCAAGGGGGUCAUCCCGACUUACCAACCCGAUGCAAACUGCGAAUACCGGAGAAUGUUAUCACGGGAGACACACGGCGGGUGCUAACGUCCGUCGUGAAGAGGGAAACAACCCAGACCGCCAGCUAAGGUCCCAAAGUCAUGGUUAAGUGGGAAACGAUGUGGGAAGGCCCAGACAGCCAGGAUGUUGGCUUAGAAGCAGCCAUCAUUUAAAGAAAGCGUAAUAGCUCACUGGUCGAGUCGGCCUGCGCGGAAGAUGUAACGGGGCUAAACCAUGCACCGAAGCUGCGGCAGCGACACUAUGUGUUGUUGGGUAGGGGAGCGUUCUGUAAGCCUGUGAAGGUGUACUGUGAGGUAUGCUGGAGGUAUCAGAAGUGCGAAUGCUGACAUAAGUAACGAUAAAGCGGGUGAAAAGCCCGCUCGCCGGAAGACCAAGGGUUCCUGUCCAACGUUAAUCGGGGCAGGGUGAGUCGACCCCUAAGGCGAGGCCGAAAGGCGUAGUCGAUGGGAAACAGGUUAAUAUUCCUGUACUUGGUGUUACUGCGAAGGGGGACGGAGAAGGCUAUGUUGGCCGGGCGACGGUUGUCCCGGUUUAAGCGUGUAGGCUGGUUUUCCAGGCAAAUCCGGAAAAUCAAGGCUGAGGCGUGAUGACGAGGCACUACGGUGCUGAAGCAACAAAUGCCCUGCUUCCAGGAAAAGCCUCUAAGCAUCAGGUAACAUCAAAUCGUACCCCAAACCGACACAGGUGGUCAGGUAGAGAAUACCAAGGCGCUUGAGAGAACUCGGGUGAAGGAACUAGGCAAAAUGGUGCCGUAACUUCGGGAGAAGGCACGCUGAUAUGUAGGUGAAGUCCCUCGCGGAUGGAGCUGAAAUCAGUCGAAGAUACCAGCUGGCUGCAACUGUUUAUUAAAAACACAGCACUGUGCAAACACGAAAGUGGACGUAUACGGUGUGACGCCUGCCCGGUGCCGGAAGGUUAAUUGAUGGGGUCAGCGCAAGCGAAGCUCUUGAUCGAAGCCCCGGUAAACGGCGGCCGUAACUAUAACGGUCCUAAGGUAGCGAAAUUCCUUGUCGGGUAAGUUCCGACCUGCACGAAUGGCGUAAUGAUGGCCAGGCUGUCUCCACCCGAGACUCAGUGAAAUUGAACUCGCUGUGAAGAUGCAGUGUACCCGCGGCAAGACGGAAAGACCCCGUGAACCUUUACUAUAGCUUGACACUGAACAUUGAGCCUUGAUGUGUAGGAUAGGUGGGAGGCUUUGAAGUGUGGACGCCAGUCUGCAUGGAGCCGACCUUGAAAUACCACCCUUUAAUGUUUGAUGUUCUAACGUUGACCCGUAAUCCGGGUUGCGGACAGUGUCUGGUGGGUAGUUUGACUGGGGCGGUCUCCUCCUAAAGAGUAACGGAGGAGCACGAAGGUUGGCUAAUCCUGGUCGGACAUCAGGAGGUUAGUGCAAUGGCAUAAGCCAGCUUGACUGCGAGCGUGACGGCGCGAGCAGGUGCGAAAGCAGGUCAUAGUGAUCCGGUGGUUCUGAAUGGAAGGGCCAUCGCUCAACGGAUAAAAGGUACUCCGGGGAUAACAGGCUGAUACCGCCCAAGAGUUCAUAUCGACGGCGGUGUUUGGCACCUCGAUGUCGGCUCAUCACAUCCUGGGGCUGAAGUAGGUCCCAAGGGUAUGGCUGUUCGCCAUUUAAAGUGGUACGCGAGCUGGGUUUAGAACGUCGUGAGACAGUUCGGUCCCUAUCUGCCGUGGGCGCUGGAGAACUGAGGGGGGCUGCUCCUAGUACGAGAGGACCGGAGUGGACGCAUCACUGGUGUUCGGGUUGUCAUGCCAAUGGCACUGCCCGGUAGCUAAAUGCGGAAGAGAUAAGUGCUGAAAGCAUCUAAGCACGAAACUUGCCCCGAGAUGAGUUCUCCCUGACUCCUUGAGAGUCCUGAAGGAACGUUGAAGACGACGACGUUGAUAGGCCGGGUGUGUAAGCGCAGCGAUGCGUUGAGCUAACCGGUACUAAUGAACCGUGAGGCUUAACCU
rnacentral:rRNA from 1 species